ensembl:piRNA 21ur-8191 ncRNA
UUUGAACACCAUACAAUCUUU